UCCUCAAUACAGAAUGUUUUCUCUCUACCCAAAAUUGGAAAUUUAGUUGAAAGAUGCUAAAAAUGUGCAAAGUUUUUGCCCUUUUGAGUAUUAGGAUUUAGCUAAAAAUUACAAUUCUGCCCUUGAAAAUUCUUGACUAAUUGUGAUCCCCAUCUUCUGGUUGCGAUCAUGCUUUUGCGAUUGUGUGGCAUCUUAGUUUGAUUACCAUAUGCUAACUUUUACUGACUGACCACAAUCGCGUCUUAAGUCGCGAUAACUGUACCUGAGAGUUAUUUGAUAUUUAGUUUCAGCUCUUUUUUUCCCACUUUCCUUCUCUUCUAGCUUGAUCUCAACUCAUAUUCAUCAUAUUCCCUACAAGAUUACAAAAAUUGGACAUUAAUACAUUUAAAUGGAGGAUUGGUUUCAUUUACAUAAUUAAAUCAUUGUAGUGUACAAGAAUCUAGAUAUAAAUAAGUUUCAAAUUUAUGACUCAUCAGUAAUCCAUUCAUCUUUAAACUAAAUUCCAUUCUUCCAUAAAGAAGAAGAACUAAAUUAAAUUCUUCCAUAAAGAAUAAGUGAUCUUGUGAAUUAAUUGGACAAUGAAAGUUAUCUAUCAAUUUUGAGAAUAUACUUUAGGUGAGUUGAGGGUUUCCAUAUAUGAGAGGCAUGAGGAAUUUAGCUACUAACUUGUUUGUUGAUUUUUCCAGUGAGGAUGGAAAGAUCAAUAGUCUAUGAAAGUAAAGCAAACUCAAUGUUUCAUGAUAUGUAUGUUCCAAAAAAGAUGAGUUCUUGAAACAAAAAUAAUCAUUUGUGAGAGAGAAGAACUUGAAGUUGUGAUAGAUGAUAAUAGUGUUAUCAACUUUAUAACCCUUUUAAUUGUUAGCAUGCUCGGGUUACCUUUCUUUCCCCAAAAAAAUCCUUUUGUUACUUCAAUGGUAUUUUUUAUUGAUAGGAGCGCCAAGGUACCUAUUUCACUUGGGAAUUAUUAAGAGAAGGUUUGGUGUGAUGUAAUGUCCAUGGAUUUUUGUCAAAUGUGUUUGGAAAUUCAAUGAUUCUAGAGUCAUGUACUUCGAUAUACACAAGAUUAGUAUUACUACAUCAUGGAUCUCAAAGGGAAACUUCUCUUUUCUCCAACAUGUCGAAAUAAAGUAGAUGCAAGUGAAAUCAUUAACAAGUUAAGGAAAGAUUGUUCUUCAUUGAGGAAGAGUUUGAUAAAAAAAAAUCUGGAAUAUAUGAUAAAAAAUGGAUGAUUGCUCUCAAUUACUUGAAAAAGUCAAGUCAAUAGACCAAAGAACUUCAAUUAUGCCUCAUGAAGUUGAAUCUAAGGAUUUUUCUUUAGACAAAAAUCAAGCUACUCCUUGUGAGGUUGGUACAAAGGAGGUGAACAUGCAAGUCAACAUAUCCACUCCUUGUGCACCAAAGUGGAAGCUAGAGUUGAAGGGGCCUCCAAACCCCAAGGGAUCCUUAGCACUUUUCUGACCUCCAAGAAAAUUGAUAGACAAAAGAUUGAGAGGAGUAAGGGUGUGAUACAUAAUAACUCUAGGAAAAUAAAUAGGUUGAAUGGAGUGAUGUGAGAGGGUUGUCAUAACGUUAUACUAAUUUGUCUAACCUUUCUUUCUUUUCUACUCAUUUUAAUUCUUGUACAGGUAUUGUUGAAAGCAAGCCUAGUAAAACACCACCAACAAUGAAGAAUCAGGAGUCACUAAAAGACUUCCCAAAACAACAUUUAUGCUCUAAUGUUGAAAACGAAUGUGAAUAUAAUCAUUCAUAUGAGAUACGAGGUAACAAAGAUAAGACUUAAACUUUGUUAAAAGUAAUAACAUUGUGUGACUAGUAGCUAAUUGAGUGUAAGUGAUCGAUAAUUUUCAUGUGAGCUAAAUGAUUCUUUUCCAAAUAAUGAUAAUGUAUUUGUUGAGAGUAUUCCUACACUGGUAGAUCCUAUUAAUGACCAAAUUGAUUCUCUUUGUAAGAUCAAUUUAUGUUUACCUAGUGUUGACACUUAUUCCAUGAAUGAUAGUACAUUGUCAUGUGAUUCUUGGUCAUGUUUAGAUAAUGUGCAUGUUGAGAAUGUGGAUACACUAGUUGAUCCUAUUGAUGACCAAAUCAAUUCUCUAGUAACAUCAAUUUGUGGAUACCUAGUGUUCAUACAUGUUCUUUGAAUAAUGCUUCAUUAUCAAUUUAUAUUGGUGUUGAUCGACUCGUAUGUAAUGAUGACCCACUAAAUGAAGCAUUUUGUGACAAACUUAAGGGGACUCAAUUUAGUGUUGGCAUUAAUAUAGUUGUCCAUGUAGAUAGUCAUGUGAAGUCAUUGCACCUAAAUAAUGAAUCCUUGAAUUGUGAUCCCAUUCUUUGUUAUUUUCCUGAGAAUUUUGAAAUUGAAUGUGUUUAUAUAGAUCAUCCCGUAUUAGAGGUUGACAUGACUAAUGAAAUUCAAAUGCAUAGUGAUGUUUCUUGGCUUUAUAGAAGAGUAACCCAUAUUAAACGCUACCAAGUGAUUGACAAUACACUAUAGUAUAAUGACAUACUUUUCAAAGACAAAACUCAGUACGUCUAUUAGAAAGGAUAGUGUUCAAAAUAAAAGUGAUGUCUACACUACGACUACACCUUUAUCAUUGUCUGUUCCUAUUCUUGGUCUACGCCUUAAUGUGCUUGAAUCAAUAAGUGCACCUUCUCAUAAGGACACCUCGGAUAAAUUUGACUUUUAGGACAUCUUUCUAUACUAUUUAUUUGCAUAUGAUGAUACUCUUGGGUAAUUCCCCAAAAACGGGUCCCGAGACCUCACAAGGUUCUCAAGAGUAUGAGUAGCCUUAAGCCAAUCCUGUCUGCCUUCUACUAAAUUUGAAACUCAUAAUAGGGAAGUAAAGAUAUAAAAUCAAGUUAAAAAUGUGGAAUUCUAUAUGAGCUAAAUUGAAGUUGUCUGAAUAUAAUUUUUAAAAAUACUAAACUCAAAAGUUUGAUCAAUCAAUAUUGGAAAUCUGAAUUAUAACUAGCAGUCGGACAAGACUCUACUACUAAUAACUAGAGAGUCACUGGGACAAAUCCCCAGCUGACUCAAACUAUUUGUGAAUACUUAAUCAUCUAUACUAGUAAGCUAAAAAACUGAAAGACUAAGUCACCAAACUAUGAGGACUCACCAGCUAUUAAGAUGUAGAUAGAGAUGCUUAAAAUCACUCACGCUACUGAAACUAAGCACCUGAACAUACAUUAUAAGACAAUGUAGCAUAUAGACGUAUAUGUGGAUUGGUACUUCUGGAUUGUACUGAGUAUAUGGGUGUGAAUGCAUAAGUAAAUAAAUGUCACAAUAGCAUUAUAAAUUUUUAAAACCAUGCAUUCUAAAUAUAGAUGACACAUAAGCUGAAUAUCUGAAAACUAAAAAUCAUAAUCAUGAAUAGCAAAUCAUGUUGCAUAGAUAUAGUGAGUCAUAACAUUUAGUUUCUAAAAGUUGUACUUGUAUUCGAGCUUUAAAUCAUGUUGUCUAAGUGUAGAAAGGACUCACUUUUAUAUCUGAAAUCUAAAGUGUGAAAUCUAGUAGCUAAUGACUUAUAUAAAACAAUAUCUAAAUUAAGUAGUGAGACUUUACACUUAGUUUCUGAAAGAUGCUCUAUUAUGAUUAUUUUGUAGUCUUUUCUAUUAGGAAAAUACUUUUAAAACUAUUCUUCAAGACUUUAUUGUUAGGGAGGUUCUUCUAACCGAUAUAUGCUAUGUGAGCUAUCCUAGUGUCUAACGUCUAGUUCCUUUAUGGGAAAACCUCAUGUUGGGGAGAGGUGCCAUACUUUUGCCAAGGAGUAUAACCUAAUCUAACUGAUCGCAUCUGUAUCUAUCCUCCAUAUAGAAAUGGGAAUAAUCUGAUAUUUUGAACCUAAAUUUGCUCGCUGUCCUGGGGUAUGUGAACAUACCUAACUCGGUGCUAAAUACUACUCCCUUUAAUCUGUAUUCUCAUUCUAUUGGAAAUCCACAUUUAAAAACUAAUAUAAGGAUUUACAAUGAAAACCUCUUGCAAAUCUGUUUAAUGUAAGCUAUAGCUAAUUCUGUAAAGCGGAUUCCAUAUCUAAGCUGAGGUCAAAAGAUCAAAUCUUUGUUCAAAAUCUGAAUAUAACAAAUCAUGGGUUGCUUAAAAGCAUAAUCUUCAUGAAAUAACAACAUACAAACUAGGGCUAAUAACCCGUGCAUCUAUUUCAAGUCGAAUCAUCAUAAAACUCAUGCUAAGUAAUGAAAAUAAUGAUAAUUCAGGUCUAAAUUUGGAAAUUACUGCAAUACGCAUAAAAAUACAAUAGUAGACAUGCAAUUCAACAUCUAAAUCACUUGAAACAACAUAAUCUUGCAAAUAACCAUAUUAGGUAUGAACCCUAAUUUGAAACUCAUGUAAAUUCAUAAAAAAAUUAUCUUCAAAAACUAAUUUUGGGCACAAGGAUGAAAGGAUUAUCCUUGUUGAAAAACCCCACAUACCUUAAUUGAUGCAAUUGGUGAGAACACUUGAUUUUGGAUUCCUAUUUGUGCUUUUGAAGAUGGAUUCUUGAUUAUCUUGAAUUGGAAACCUUGAAUUUUAAGUUUCCCUAGAGAAAGAAUGUUGGAAUUCGGAUUUCUUAGGAAUUAAGUUUUGAUGUUCUAGGGUUUCUUUGAGAGGAAGUCGAUGAAAAGUGAGCAAAUAAUGGUUGGAAUAGGAUUAAUUCAGCGUUAUUCAUGAAUUGGAAGUUGAGGACAAGACUAGAUAUGCCUUUAAAAAAUUAAGUUUGGAAACUGAAAUCCCAAUUUUAGACCCCACCGCGAUGCGGGGCUAUCGUGGUGGCUCACUGGAUAAGGGACCAUUGCCGUUUUAGGUUGUAGCGCGAUGCGGCAUCAUCGCAUUGCGCCACUGGAAAAUGGAUGAGUGCCAUUUUGCAUUCCUUUACUAGACAGUAUCAGUCCAUUUGGAAAUUUUGACACGAUAUGGGCAAAUCACGAUGAGCUACUUGAAAAGGGAUGAACGGGAACUGGAGUUUCACUGCGAUACGAUGAAAUUAUUGUUCUCCACUAGAAAUUGGAAAAUUAUGAUUUUGUCCUUCACCGCGACAUGGUGCCUAUCGAAAUGCCCUACUAUUUUCAAUAAAAUUACCAUAACUACUGAACCGAGUAUUGGAUUAUGGCGAAAUUGGUAUCGUUGGAAAGAUAAUUCAAUUAUUUACACAUUGAAGGGUCUAAAGUUGGAAAAUUCCAUAUGAAUAAAGAUUUAUACACUUCAAAAAUUAUUAUUGACACACUAGAAGCUAAAUUGAGCUUGGAAAAAGUGCAGAUAUUACAAUAUCUCCCCCUUGUGAACAUUGUCCUCGAAUGAGACUAAUUAAACUGAAGAUACUGAGGAACUACGGCUAUAUGCUGGAAUGCACAACUUGAAACAAACUGCAUGACUAAAUCUAAAAUUUACUGAGCGACUGAACUAAUCUGUGAGCGCAUAAAUUGAAAUGAAGAUAUCUAUAUAGCUGAAUUUGAGACUGGAAAAGAAUUGAAUUAACGAGAACUAUUACCUUCAGCCGAAUCUGAGUUCAUGUAUAAAAGGUGAGGAUACUUGGUACGCAUGUCUUCUUUUGCUUCCUAAGCAGCGCCCUCAACGGACUGAUUAAGCCACAGAACUUUGAUCAAGGGAACUUCUUUCUUCCUUAUUCUAAGGAUCUGAUGAUCAAGAAUCACUACUGGAACUUCUUUGUAUGAAAUGCUAUUCUGAAUAUAUAUGCUUUCUAGAGGGAUUAAAACAGUUGAAUUGUCCAUGCACUUCUUCAAUAAGGACACAUGGAAAACUGGAUGAACUACUGACAAGUCUUCACAUAACUCAAGCUCAUACGCUACCUUCCUAAUACGACUAAAAAUUUGGUAGUGGCCUAUAUAACGGGGACUAAGCUUCCCUUUUUGCCAAAUCUCUUCACCCCGUUCAUAGGUGAAUCCUUCAAAUACACAUGAUCAUCUACUUCAAACUUAAGAUCUCUCCUUUUUACAUCUGCAUAAGAUUUCUGACGACUCUGAGCUGCUUUCAAUUUAUCCCGGAUCAACUGGACUUUCUCCAUGGCUUUAAAUACCAAAUCUAGCCCAAUCAAAGCGGCCUCACCCACUUUGAACCAACCGAAUGGUGAUCUACUCCUUUGCCCAUAAAGAGCUUCAAAUAUGGACAUCUGAAUACUAGAAUGGUAACUAUUAUUAUAGGGAAACUCGAUCAAUGGAAAGUGGUCAUCCUAACAGCCUUUGAAAUUAAGAACUCAUGACCUCAACCUAUCCUCUAAAUUUUGAAUGGUUCUCUCUACCUGACCAUCUGUCUACGGAUGAAAGGUUGAACUGAGAUGAACUUGGGUACCAAGACCCUUCUGAAGGUCUUUCAAAAAUUGAGAAGUAAAUUGAGUACCCUUAUAUGAGAUGAUGGACAAGGGAACUCUAUGCAAUCUAACAAACUCUUUAAUGUACAGAGUAGCAUAAUCUUCAGCUGUGUAGGAUGUGUGAAUUGGAAAGAAAUGAGCUGAUUUGGUCAAUCUGUCUAUAAUAACCCAUAUCAAAUCAUGCUAUCGACGCAAAUGGGGUAAUCUAGUCACAAACUCCAUAUUCACCUUUUCUCACUUCCAAGUAGAAAUACCAAACUCCUGCAAAGUGCCACUAGGUCUUUGGUGCUCUAACUUAACUGGUUGACAAGUCACACACUUGGCUAUAAUAUCUCUCUUCAUAUUACUCAACCAAUAGAUUUCUCGUAAGUCGCAGUACAUCUUGGUGUCUCCUAGAUAAAUGGAAUAAUGUGCACCAUGCGUUUCUACUAUAAUCCACUACCUCAAAUCAUCAACACAUAGCACACACAAUCUACUCUGUAUCUCAACACACCAACUCCCCUUGGCAGAUAACCUCUACCAUUUUGUCUUUAACUGACCCCUUCAAUUUGACUAAACUAGGAUCCCUAUCCUAUUUUUUUUUCGCUUCAGAAACUAGAGAAGAUUCUAAACUAUGCUGAACCCAAACAUUUCCUUCAGCUGAGUCAACCAACCUUACACCUAAUCUAGCUAAUCGAUGAACUUCCCAAACUAACUCUCUCUAAUCAUUCUCCACAUGAGAAACACUGCCCAUAGACAAUCUACUAAGAGCGUCAGCCACUACAUUGGCCUUGCCCAAAUGAUACAAAACACUCAUAUCAUAAUCCUUCAAUAAUUCUAACCACCUUCUCUGAUGAAGAUUUAACUCCCUCUGAGUAAACACAUACUGCAAACUUUUAUAAUCCAUAAGCACAUCAAUAUGUACCCAUAAAGAUAGUGCCUCCAGAUCUUUAAUGCAAACACAACAACAGCUAACUCAAGGCCAUGGGUAGGGUAGUUCUUUUUGUGAGGGCAUAAGCUAACUAGAGGCAUAGUCUAUAACCUUACCUCUCUGUAUCAAAAAACAACCAAGACCAAUUCUAAAGGCAUCACAAUAUACAACAAACCCAUCUGUACCAUUAGGUAGCACUAAAACUAGGGUUGAAGUGAGUCGAGUCUUCAACUCCUACAAACUCUUCUCAUAGGAAUCUGACCACUGAAGCUUAACUUUCUUCUGAUUCAAUCUAGACAUAGGGAAUGCAAUAGAAGAAAAACCCUUAACAAAAUAUCUAUAAUAUCCAGCUAAACCUAAGAAACUUUGGAUGUCUGAUGGACAGAUAGGUCUAGGCCAGUUUCUUACUGCUUUUGUCUUUUGGGGGUCAAAUCUAAUGCCAUCACUAGAAAUAAUAUGAUCAAGGAAAUCUACCAAUCUUUGCUAAAAUUCACAUUUGCUGAAUUUGGCGAACAACUAGUGAUCCUUAAGAGUUUGCAACACUAUUCUAAGGUGGUCUACAUAAUCAUCCUCACUACGAGAAUAGGCAAGAAUAUCAUCGAUAAAGACUAUGAUAAACAUGUCCAAAUAAUAUUUGAACAAUCUGUUCAUCAAGUCUAUAAAGGCUAUUGGGCAAUUGAUAAGACCAAAUGACAUAAGUAAAAACUUGAAAUGACCAUAAUGGGUUCUGAAAGCUAUCUUUGGAAUAUCACAUUCCCUUACUUUGAGCUGAUGAUAGCUGGAUCUAAGGUCUAUCUUUGAGAAGUAACUUGCACCUUGGAGUUGGUUGAAAAAGUCAUCAAUCCUAGAAAGAGGAUAUUUGUUUUUUACUGUGACUUUAUUAAGCUGAUGAUGGUCAAUACACAUUCGCAAAGAACCAUCUUUAUUUCGUAUGAAUAGGACAAGAGCGCCCCAUAGAGAGACACUAGGCCUUAUGAAACCUUUAUCUAAUAGAUCUUUGAGAUGCUUUUUUAACUCUUUAAGCUCCGCUGGAUCCAUACGAUAUGAAAGAAUAGAGAUAGACUGGGUAUCUGGAAGAAGGUUUAUAUGAAAUUCUAUUUACCUAUCGGGAGGUACCCCUAGAAAAUCUUUGAGAAAAACAUCUGGAAACUCAUUGACUAUACGAACUGACUGAACUAUUGGAGUCUCAGACUUAGUGUCUUUGACUCGAACUAGAUGAUAGAUACACCCUUUUGAGAUCAACUUUCUGGCUUUAAUAAAGGAUAUGAAAUGAUUCUUGGGAGACACUAAAUUACCUUCCCACUCAAAGACUAACUUAUCUGGAAACUAAAACUUCACCACUCUGGCGCGACAAUUUAUGGAUGCAUAAUAGGAAUAAAUCCAAUCCAUCCCAAGAAUAAGGUCAAAGUUAACUAUAUCUAACUCUGUUAAAUCUGUUAACAUAAUUUUAUGAAGGACGAUGAUAGGACACUUUCUAUAGAUAUGUUUGGCAACAACUGAUUCACCUAUUGGGGUAGAAACUAAGAAGGGAUCAGGGAUCUUUUCAUGACUUAUUUCAAAAUAUACUGAAACUAGUGGGGUCGCAUAAGAGAAACUCAACCCAGGGUCUAACAAUACAUAAACAUCAACAUUUGGUGAAUCCUCCUUCUCCUGAUGGGAUGGUAAAGCAUAAAACCAAUUCUGGCGCUGACCGCCACCGGUACUAGAUGAUGCGCCCUAAGGAGAGACUGGGAAACCUAGAAGGGCUUGUGUGCUAGUACCUUGAGUUUAGGGAAUAGCAUCCCUGUUUCCCUGCUUAGCAUGCAAAUACUCUUUGAUUCCAUGACCUAACUUACCACAACCAUAAAAACCUUUUUGUCCCAACAAACACCCACCAAGAUGAUUCUUACAACACUUAGCUCAUGGAUGAUAACUAGGUUUUCCAUUCACACUAUUCUGAGAUCUGGACAUAAAAGUCUUACCCUACUGCUCUUGCCUAGUGUUGGGAGCGAUAGCACUAGCUAAAGAUAGUGCUAACAUAGAUAAAUGAUUUUGGAACUACAAAUGAUUUCCCUCUCCAUACUUUGUCUGGCCAUACUCAAAUUGCUCAGUUCUAGCCUUAUUAUUUCCAUUCUCUCUUUUCUUUAACUUUUCUGCGUCAAUUUGUUGGAAUUAAUCAUCAACCUAGAAAGAUCCAUGUCCCUAAUAAGCAUGGAAGUCAUACAUUCCUUGACUACCAAACCAGAUACUCCAGUAACAAAUUUACUCAUACUCUCCCUAGUGUCAGCCAUCAUAUCAAGGGCAUACUUAGACAACUGGUUGAACUUAAGGCAGUACUCUUUUACUAUCAUCAAGCCCUACUCUAGGUUCACAAACUCUUCAACCUUAGUUUCUCUUAUUUCACACAAAAAGAACCUGUCUAGAAACGCAUCUUGAAAUACCUAUCAACUCAUAGGAACUGCAUUCUUAGCUCUACCAUUCUUCUACAUAACCACCCAGUCAUAUGCUAUUAUCCUUCAAUCUAUAGUAUGCCAACUCUACACUCUCCUCAUCAGAAACAUACAUAAUCUAGGUGAUCUUUCUUACCUUAUCUAAGUAAAGUUGUGGGUCCUCACUGGAUUUUGACCUAAAGAACUCAGGCAGAUUUAUACUCAUGAAGUCUUGAAUUAUGGCUACUGCUAAAUCACUAUUCUACUGAAGUAGAACUAUCGCUUGAUGGUUGUCCUAAAUAUUAGAAGUCACAUCUUGGUCUAACACCUAAAAUACAGCCCAAAAUUCAAUAUAGGAUACACUUUCAUUCAGAGUGUCAGCAGGCUGGGCUGGCUGUUAUCAUUUUUGUGGGCGUUAGCUCAACGACGAGGCAUAUUCAACUGUCACGUAAGAGAAUGAGUUAAAAUCAGAUAGAGAUACUAUAAUCAUGAUAGAUCAUGAAAUAAAUAGAUGAUUUCCUAACAACAUCUUGUAGCCUCUUGCUCAUAAAUGUGGCACGCUUUACACCCAAGAUCAAGACUCUACGUAAUACCGCUUUUCUGACUCCCUAGGACUCAUAUAGCCUUAGGAUCUAAUACCAAGUUCGUAACACCCUGAAAAUAGGUCUUGAGAUAUCACACGGUGCUUAAGACUAUGAGUAGCCUUAAGCUAACCCUGUCUGCCUUCUACUAAAUCUGAAACUCAUAAUAGGGAAUUAUAGAUAUAAAAUCAAGUUUAAAAUGUGGAAUUCUAUUUGUGCUAAAUUGAAGCUUUCUAAAUAUAAUAUUUGAAAAUACUAAACUCAAAAGUCUGAUCAAUUAAUACUGGAAAUCUGAAUCAUAACUAGCAUUCUGACAAUCCUAUACUACUAAUAACUAGAGAGUCACUGGAAAAACCCCAGUUAACUCGAACUAUCUGUGCAUACUGAAUCAUAUAUACUAGUAAGCUAAAAAAUAAAAGACUAAGUCCCCGAACUAUAAGGACUCACCAACUUUCGGGAUUAGAUGAAUUUGCUCGAAAUCACUCACGCUGCUGAAACUGAACAUAUGGACCAACAUUAUGAGACAAUGUAGCACAUAGAUGUAUAUAUGGAUUCGUACUUCUGGAUUGUACUGAAUAUCUAGGGGUGAAUACACAAGUAAAUCAAUAUCUUAAUAGCAUUAUAAAUUAGUAAGAGCAUGCAUACUAAAUAUAGAUGACUCACAUAAGCUGGAAUAUCUAAAAUUUGAAAAUCAUAAUCAUGAAUAGAAAAACAUAUUGCAUAGAUCUAUUGAGCUAUAAUAUUUAGUUUAUAAAAGUUGUACUUGUAUUCUAGCAUUAAAUCAUGUUGUCUAAGGGUAUAAAGGACUCACUUUUAUAUCAGAAAUCUGAAUUGAAAUCUAGUAGCCAAUGACUUAUAUAAAACAAUGUCUCAAUGAAGUCGUGAGCCUUUACACUUAGUUUCUGAAAGCUAUUCUAUUAUGAUUAUUCUGUAGUCUUUUCUAUUAGCAAAAUACUUUUAAAACUAUUCUGCAAGGAUUUACUGUUAGGGAUGUUUUUCUAACCGACAUACACUAUGUGAGCUAUCAUAGUGUCCAACGUCCAGUUCCCUUCUGGGAAAAUCUCACAUUAGGGAGAGAUGUCAUACUCUUUCCAAGGAGUAUGACCUAAUCUAACUGAUCAUAUCUGUAUCUGUCAUCCAUAUAGAAAUAGGAAUAAUCUAAUAAUCUAAACCUACAUUGGCUCAUAGUUUUGUGGUAUGUGAACAUACCCAACUCAGUGCUAAAUACUACUCCCUUUAAUAUGCAUGUUCAUUCUGUUGGAAAUCAACUUUUAUAAACUAAUCUAUGGCUUUACAAUGAAAACCACUUGUAAAUCUGUUUACUAUGAACUGUAGCUAAAUCUAUAAAGUGGAUUUCAUAUCUAAGCUGAGAUUAAAAGAUCAUAUCUUUAUUCAAAAUCUGAAUAAGGGGUGUGGUUUGAAGGUAGUGGAAGUCAUCCUUUAACUCACGUCCAAAGAGUUUGAGAUUCCACUUCGAACUAUGUUUCAGUUUGUUGCUAAGUUCCACGUUGUGCUGCGUCCUUUUUGGAGUCGUCCACACCUGUGGUUUUGAAUUGAGAAUUUCACCAUUUCAUAUUCUCUCGACAAUAUCUCAAACAAAAUAGUUAGCUGCAAAUUUAGCAUUAAACUAACGUAAAUUGGUGCAAACCUAUUUGAACAAGUUAUGCUGAGAUAGUUGAUGAACCAAUUUCCACAGCCUUGAAUAGAGUGACGGUCCAACGUGUCUCAUUAAAAGAAGGACAACCCAUUUUGAAUAUAAUAUGCCACUUUGAACGAAGAGAUGAUUCAACGUAUCUGAUUGAAAGGUGAACGACCUAUUUGAAUGUAACAUGCCACUUUGAAGGGAGUGACGUUCCAACUUGUCUCAUUGAAAGGUGGAUGACCUAUUUUGAAUGUAAUAUGCCAAUUUGAACGGAGUGAUGGUCCAAUGUGUCUCAUUGAAAGGCAGAUGACCUAUUUGAAUGAAACAUGCCAAUUUGAAUGGAGUGACAGUCCAAAGUGUCUCAUUGAAAGGUGGACGACCUAAUAAUAACAACAAUAACAACACCAUACCCAGUGUAUUCCCACCUAGUGGGGUCUGGGGAGGGUAGAGUGUACGCAGACCAUACCACUACCUCAAGAGAAGUAGAGAUAUUAUUUCCAAUAGACCCCCGGCUUAGGACCAAUAACAGUAUAACAAAUACAAAAAGUAGGUACAUAUAAACUAGUAUGGUACACAAAACAAACUAACCGUAUAACAAACACAUAAGAUAAGUGCAUAAUAAACUAGUACGGGAUGCAAAAAAUCCAACACCACUAGCCCCAAACUACAGCCACAACACUAUGAACCAGACACUCCAGACCCAAAGAAGCACUCCCCUAUUACUACCUCCGCGCUCCCACCCCCUAAUCCGCGUCGUCCAUACCUUCCUAUCAAGGGUCAUGUCCUCUGUAAGCUGUAAUUUCUCUAUAUCAUGCCUAAUCACCUCCCUCCAAUAUUUCUUUGGUCUACCUCUAGCUCAACUAAAACCAUCCCUAGCCAGAGUCUUACACCUCCACACUGGAUCAUCAGGGCCCCUCCUCAUCACAUGCCCGAACCAACGUAGCCUCACUUCUCACAACUUAUCCUCCAUCGAGGUAACUCCCACCUUAUCCCGAAUAAUCUCAUUCCUCACCCUAUCUUUUCUGUUAUCUCCAUGCAUCCAUCAUAAUAUUCGAAUCUCCGCCACCUUUACCUUUUGGAUAUGGGAGUUCUUAACUAGACAACGCUCCGCUCCAUACAACAUAGUCGUUUGGAUACCACUCUGUAGAACUUACCUUUAAGCUUUGGGGGCACUUUCUUAUUACAAAGGACUCCCGAAUCGAGCCUCCACUUCAAGCACCCUGCCCCAAUACGAUGCAUGACAUCCUCAUAAAUCUCACCAUUACCCUAAAUUAUAUACCCUAAAUACUUGAAACUCUCCCUCUUCUGGAUGGCCUGAGAGUCUAUCUUCACAACUACUCCAUCUUCUUGUGACAUAUCACUGAACUUACACUCCAAAUACUCCGUCUUCAUUCUACUUAACUGAAAACCUUUAGAUUCAAGCGUCUGUCUCCAAAUUUCCAACUUAUCAUUAAAUCCACCCCGAUUCUUGUCGAUCAGAACCACAUCAUAACAUACACCAAGGCACCUCCCUUUGAAUAUGUCGCAUCAAAACAUCCAUCACCAAAGCAAAUAGAAAUGGGUUAAAAGUCGAUCCUUGGUGCAACCUUAUCAAAACUGUAAAGUGCUCAGAAUCUCCACCUACCGUCCUCACAUGAGUCUUCGCACCACCAUACAUAUCCUGAAUUAACCUAAAGUACGCCAUAGGCACCCCUCUAGCCUCCAAGCACCUCCAUAGAAUCUCCCUGGGAACUCUGUCAUAUGCCUUCUCUAGAUCAAUAAAUACCAUGUGCAUGUCCUUCUUUCUCUCUCGAAACUACUCCACUAAUCUCCUCACAAGGUGAAUGGCCUCAGUUGUCGAGCGAAUAGGCAUGAAACCGAAUUGAUUCUCAGAGACUGUUACGAUCCUCCUCAUCCUUACCUNNNNNNNNNNNNNNNNNNNNUCAUAUUAUAACUCAAUAACUUAAUACCUCUAUAGUUGUUACAACUCUGAAUGUCUCCCUUGUUCUUAUACACUGGAAUUAAUAUUCUAUACCUCCACACUUCAAGCAUCUUAGCAGCUCCAAAAAUAAUGUUAAACAACCUUUUCAACCACUCCAGACCUACCCAGCUAGUGCUCUUCUAAAAAUCUACUAGAAUCUCGUCUAGCUCCAUAGCCCUACCCCGCCGCAUCCUGUGAAUAGCCCCCUUGACCUCCUCAAUCUCAAUAUGCCUAAUAACUAUAAUCAUCACCCUCCUUAGAUAUCUCCAAGUCUUUCAAGACAGAACCUUUGUCCCCCUCGUCAUUCAAAAUUUUAUAAAAAUAGGACUGCCACCUUUCCCUAAUGAGGGCAUCCUCAACCAACACUAUACCAUUCUCUCCUUUGAUGCACUUUACUUGGUCAACGUCAUAAGCCAUCCGCUCCCAAUCCUUUUCCAUCCUAUACAACUUCUUAUCUCCAUCUUUCUCCUCACAAGCCUCAUACAAACUCUCAAAAGUUAUUGGCUUAGCCGUCGUAACCGCUAACUUAGUCUCUCUUCUAGCUACCUUAUACUCCUCCUUAUUCUUAUGCAUUUCCUUAUCAUCCUUACUCCUAACCAACUUAUCAUAAGCCACCUUCUUAGACUCUACCUUUAUUAUAACCUCUUCAUUCCAUAACCAGUCUCCUCGAUGUUUGCCAAAUCGACCUCUCGAGACACCCAACACCUCUCUAGUGGUCUCCCUAAUGCAACUGGCAGCCAUCUCCCAUAUAUUAUCCACACCCCCUAUACUCUCCCAUGCCCCCAUACUCUUUAAUUUCUCUUCCAUCUCCAAAGCACUAGCAAUAGUUAAGCUACCCCACUUAAUCUUGGGUCGUGCCUCCCUAUUUCUCUUCUUUUUGCUCUUAUUCAUAGCCAAGUCCAUCACCAACAACCUAUGUUGAGUCAAGAGAUUCUCGCUAGGUAUGACUUUAUAGUCUUUACAUAGCGCUCUAUCGCCUUUUCUAAGAAGCAAAAAGCCUAUCUGAGUCUUUGCCACUAAACUACGAAAUGUAAUAAAGUGAUCCUCCUUCUUUGAAAAGCUCGAAUUCAUUAUCCAUAACCUAAAAGACCUAGAAAAAUCCAACAGAGAAGUUCCUCCUUUAUUCUGCUUACCAAAACUAAAACCGCCAUGUACAGCAUUGUACCCUCUCGACAGAGACCCAAUGUGCCCAUUGAAAUCCCCUCCCAUAAAAAGCUUCUCAGUGCUCGGGAUGCUCCUCACGACCUCAUCUAAAACCUCCCAGAAUUCCUUCUUCUCCUCCUCGUUCAAACCUACUUGUGGGAUGUAAGCACUAAUAACGUUCACCGUAGACCUUCCCAUGACCAACUUAAUAAAUAUCAGUCUAUCACUAACUCUCUUUACCUCUACCACAUGCUCCCUAAGAUCUUCAUCUACUAAGAUACCUACCCCAUUUCUAUGUCUCACGCUACCCGAGUACCAUAACUUAUAUCAAUCCACAUCUCUCGCUUUAGUGCCUACCCAUUUAGUUUCCUGGACACACGCUACACUAACCCUCCUCUUUUUGAGAAUCUACACCUGCUUGAUAGACUUACCCUGCAAAGUACCAAUGUUCAAUUACCCAACUCGCAACCUAGAAGCUCUCUUAUCCAACCUAACCUUACAACCCCUAGCCCCUAACCCUAAACACGAUCCUAGACUUGACCCAGACCCAACCCCUCUAAACCCCGACCCAGACCUAACACCUCCUGACCCUGACCCCGAUCUAUGACAUGACCCUUGUCUACCAUCGCCAAUCACCACCACUAUGCAAUAAAAGGGAUAGGGAUGAAAGAAAAAAGGGAAGAAAGAUAACAAAGGGGGAUCAAGAUAAGGUAAAAAGGGCACACUAGUUACAAUGAAGUCAAUAAAGGAUGUAGGGACAUAACCAACAAUCUAUAAUAGAUAUAGAGCAAAAAAACCCAUAAUAUAACACAAAUUUUGAUAAAUAAUAGUUCAUAGUAGGAACUUAUACUACCAUAAUUAAUGGAUAUGCUAGUAAAUCAAGUAACAGUAAUCAGACAAGGUAACACACUCCAAAACUACUAAGAAUAAUAAGAAGAUUCACAUGUAAAAUACUAUUACAAAUUAACCAAUCAACAAGAAAUUUGACACCCACAACUAGAUAAUCAGCCAAGAAUAGUACAGAACACUACCAAUAUCAAGAAAGCUAAAGAUAAAUAGAAAAAAUGGAUUAAGUGUACCUGAUCAAAGCUGGGUUGUUUCCGUAUACUUGGUUGAGUCGCUGGAUUCCAGCAAUUUGCAGU
rnacentral:lncRNA from 1 species